AUUGAACGCUGGCGGCAGGCUUAACACAUGCAAGUCGAGCGGAGCGAGGGUGCUUGCACCUUAGCUUAGCGGCGGACGGGUGAGUAAUGCUUAGGAAUCUGCCUAUUAGUGGGGGACAACAUUCCGAAAGGGAUGCUAAUACCGCGUACGCCCUACGGGGGAAAGCAGGGGAUCUUCGGACCUUGCGCUAAUAGAUGAGCCUAAGUCGGAUUAGCUAGUUGGUGGGGUAAAGGCCUACCAAGGCGACGAUCUGUAGCGGGUCUGAGAGGAUGAUCCGCCACACUGGGACUGAGACACGGCCCAGACUCCUACGGGAGGCAGCAGUGGGGAAUAUUGGACAAUGGGCGGAAGCCUGAUCCAGCCAUGCCGCGUGUGUGAAGAAGGCCUUUUGGUUGUAAAGCACUUUAAGCGAGGAGGAGGCGCUCUAGGAUAAUACCCUAGAUGCGUGGACGUACUCGCAGAUAAGCCCC
rnacentral:rRNA from 1 species